rnacentral:rRNA from 1 species
CGAAGGGUGCAAGCGUUACUCGGAAUUACUGGGCGUAAAGCGUGUGUAGGUGGUUCGUUAAGUCUGCCGUGAAAGCCCCGGGCUCAACCUGGGAAUGGCGGUGGAUACUGGCGGACUAGAGUGCGGUAGAGGGUGGUGGAAUUCCCGGUGUAGCAGUGAAAUGCGUAGAGAUCGGGAGGAACAUCUGUGGCGAAGGCGGCCACCUGGACCAGCACUGACACUGAGGCACGAAAGCGUGGGGAGCAAACAGGAUUAGAUACCCUGGUAGUCCACGCCCUAAACGAUGCGAACUGGACGUUGGGAGCAACUAGGCUCUCAGUGUCGAAGCUAACGCGUUAAGUUCGCCACCUGGGGAGUACGGUCGCAAGACUG